rnacentral:rRNA from 1 species
GACGAAGGGGGCUAGCGUUGUUCGGAAUUACUGGGCGUAAAGCGAGUGUAGGUGGUUGUCCAAGUUGGAUGUGAAAGCCUUGAGCUCAACUCAAGAAAUGCAUUCAGGACUGGAUGGCUAGAGGACCGGAGAGGAUAGUGGAAUUCCAGUGUAGUGGUGAAAUACGUAGAGAUUGGGAAGAACACCAGUGGCGAAGGCGGCU